AUUGAACGCUGGCGGCAGGCCUAACACAUGCAAGUCGAGCGAGCGGCGGACGGGUGAGUAAUGUAUGGGGACUGCCCGAUAGAGGGGGAUAACUACUGGAAACGGUAGCUAAUACCGCAUACUAUCGGAUAACCCAUAUGGGAUUAGCUAGUUGGUGAGGUAAUGGCUCACCAAGGCGACGAUCCCUAGCUGGUCUGAGAGGAUGAUCAGCCACACUGGGACGGAGACACGGCCCAGACUCCUACGGAGGCAGCAGUAGGGAAUCUUCGGCAAUGGACGAAAGUCUGACCGAGUAACGCCGCGUGGGGGAUGAAGGCUUUCGGGUUGUAAACCUCUUUCGCUAUCGAACGGGUAGGUGGAGAAGAAGCGCCGGCUAACUACGUGCCAACAGCCGCGGUAAUAC
rnacentral:rRNA from 1 species